UGCAGCUAAGAGAUACAAUGC
rnacentral:piRNA from 1 species